GAUAUCGGAGCUUGCUCUGGUUGAUCAGUGGCGAACGGGUGAGUAACACGUGAGUAACCUGCCCUUGACUCUGGGAUAACUCCGGGAAACCGGGGCUAAUACCGGAUACGAGACGCGACCGCAUGGUCGGCGUCUGGAAAGUUUUUCGGUCAAGGAUGGACUCGCGGCCUAUCAGCUUGUUGGUGAGGUAAUGGCUCACCAAGGCGUCGACGGGUAGCCGGCCUGAGAGGGCGACCGGCCACACUGGGACUGAGACACGGCCCAGACUCCUACGGGAGGCAGCAGUGGGGAAUAUUGCACAAUGGGCGAAAGCCUGAUGCAGCGACGCCGCGUGAGGGAUGAAGGCCUUCGGGUUGUAAACCUCUUUCAGUAGGGAAGAAGCGAAAGUGACGGUACCUGCAGAAGAAGCGCCGGCUAACUACGUGCCAGCAGCCGCGGUAAUACGUAGGGCGCAAGCGUUGUCCGGAAUUAUUGGGCGUAAAGAGCUCGUAGGCGGUUUGUCGCGUCUGGUGUGAAAACUCAAGGCUCAACCUUGAGCUUGCAUCGGGUACGGGCAGACUAGAGUGUGGUAGGGGUGACUGGAAUUCCUGGUGUAGCGGUGGAAUGCGCAGAUAUCAGGAGGAACACCGAUGGCGAAGGCAGGUCACUGGGCCACUACUGACGCUGAGGAGCGAAAGCAUGGGGAGCGAACAGGAUUAGAUACCCUGGUAGUCCAUGCCGUAAACGUUGGGCACUAGGUGUGGGGCUCAUUCCACGAGUUCCGCGCCGCAGCUAACGCAUUAAG
rnacentral:rRNA from 1 species